AUUGAACGCUGGCGGCAUGCCUAACACAUGCAAGUCGAACGAGUGGCGGACGGGUGAGUAAUGUCUGGGAAACUGCCCGAUGGAGGGGGAUAACUACUGGAAACGGUAGCUAAUACCGCAUACCAUCGGAUGUGCCCAUAUGGGAUUAGCUAGUUGGUGGGGUAACGGCUCACCAAGGCGACGAUCCAUAGCUGGUCUGAGAGGAUGACCAGCCACACUGGGACUGAGACACGGUCCAGACUCCUACGGGAGGCAGCAGUGGGGAAUAUUGGACAAUGGGCGCAAGCCUGAUGCAGCCAUGCCGCGUGUAUGAAGAAGGCCUUCGGGUUGUAAAGUACUUUCAGCGGGGAGGCGGUACUCGCAGAAGAAGCACCGGCUAACUACGUGCCAGCAGCCGCGGUAAUUC
rnacentral:rRNA from 1 species